UACGAAGGGGGCUAGCGUUGUUCGGAAUCACUGGGCGUAAAGCGCACGCAGGCGGAUUGAUAAGUCAGGGGUGAAAUCCCGGGGCUCAACCUCGGAAUUGCCUUUGAUACUGUCUGUCUUGAGUCCGGGAGAGGUGAGUGGAAUUCCUAGUGUAGAGGUGAAAUUCGUAGAUAUUAGGAAGAACACCAGUGGCGAAGGCGGCUCACUGGCCCGGUACUGACGCUCAUGUGCGAAAGCGUGGGGAGCAAACAGGG
rnacentral:rRNA from 1 species